AUUGAACGCUGGCGAAAUGCUUUACACAUGCAAGUCGAACGGCAGCACGGGAGCUUGCUCCUGGUGGCGAGUGGCGAACGGGUGAGUAAUGCGUCGGAACGUACCGAGUAAUGGGGGGAUAACGCAGCGAAAGCUGUGCUAAUACCGCAUACGCCCUGAGGGGGAAAGUGGGGGAUCGCAAGACCUCACGUUAUUCGAGCGGCCGACGUCUGAUUAGCUAGUUGGUGGGGUAAAGGCCUACCAAGGCGACGAUCAGUAGCGGGUCUGAGAGGAUGAUCCGCCACACUGGAACUGAGACACGGUCCAGACUCCUACGGGAGGCAGCAGUGGGGAAUUUUGGGACAAUGGGGGCAACCCUGAUCCAGCCAUUCCGCGUGAGUGAAGAAGGCC
rnacentral:rRNA from 1 species